GAACCUGACCGGUCAUGCCAACACAUGCAAGUCGAACGGUCUGGUGUUUAACACCAAACGCUACAUGCUAACCGGGGAAUCACAAACAAGCCGCGUCUUAUGAACGAGCGAAGCAAGUUCAUUACGCAACUUAAAAGUGACUAACCGGAAAAGUAAGAGCGAUUGGUGUUGAACGCCAGGUAGUGGCGAACGGGUGAGUAACGCGUAAACAACCUGCCUCAUAGAUGGGGACAACACCGCGAAAGUGGUGCUAAUACCGAAUGUUUUAACUUUGCUGCAUGGCAGAGUUAAUAAAGGUGGCCUCUAAAUUAUGCUACCGUUAUGAGAGGGGUUUGCGUCUGAUUAGCUAGUUGGCGGGGUAAUGGCCCACCAAGGCGACGAUCAGUAGCCGGUCUGAGAGGAUGAACGGCCACACUGGGACUGAGACACGGCCCAGACUCCUACGGGAGGCAGCAGUGGGGAAUCUUCCGCAAUGGACGAAAGUCUGACGGAGCAACGCCGCGUGAGUGAAGAAGGUUUUCGGAUCGUAAAGCUCUGUCUUUUGGGACGAAUGUGCUGUAGGUGAAUAAUCUGUAGCAAUGACGGUACUAAAGGAGGAAGCCACGGCUAACUACGUGCCAGCAGCCGCGGUAAUACGUAGGUGGCGAGCGUUGUCCGGAAUUAUUGGGCGUAAAGGGCGCGUAGGCGGAUCUGUAAGUCUGACUUAAAAGUGCAGGGCUCAACCCUGUGAGGGGUCAGAAACUAUGGAUCUUGAGUGCAGGAGAGGAAAGUGGAAUUCCCAGUGUAGCGGUGAAAUGCGUAGAUAUUGGGAGGAACACCA
rnacentral:rRNA from 1 species